UACGUAGGGACCGAGCGUUGUCCGGAAUCAUUGGGCGUAAAGAGCGUGUAGGCGGCCUUUUAAGUCCUGCGUGAAAUCCUGCGGCUCAACCGCAGACGGUCGUGGGAAACUGGAAGGCUAGAGUGCGGGAGAGGAGAGUGGAAUUCCCGGUGUAGCGGUGAAAUGCGUAGAUAUUCGGAAGAACACCGGUGGCGAAAGCGACCUUCUGGGCCAUUACUGACGCUGAGGUACGAAAGCUUGGGGAGCGAACGGG
rnacentral:rRNA from 1 species